rnacentral:rRNA from 1 species
UACGUAGGUGGCAAGCGUUGUCCGGAUUUAUUGGGCUUAAAGGGUGCGUAGGCGGUCUAUUAAGUCAGUUGUGAAAUACGGCAGCUCAACUGUCGAGGUGCAAUUGAUACUGAUGGACUUGAGUACUGAUGAGGUAAGCGGAAUGGACGGUGUAGCGGUGAAAUGCGUAGAGAUCGGGAGGAACAUCUGUGGCGAAGGCGGCCACCUGGACCAGCACUGACACUGAGGCACGAAAGCGUGGGGAGCAAACAGG